rnacentral:rRNA from 1 species
UACAGAGGUCCCAAGCGUUGUUCGGAUUCACUGGGCGUAAAGGGUUCGUAGGCGGUUGGGUAAGUCUGUCGUGAAAUCUCCGAGCCUAACUCGGAAACUGCGUCGGAUACUAUUCAACUCGAGGAAUGGAGGGGAGACUGGAAUUCUCGGUGUAGCAGUGAAAUGCGUAGAUAUUGGGAAGAACACCUGAGGCGAAGGCGGCCAACUGGACAGAUACUGACGCUGAGACACGAAAGCGUGGGGAGCAAACAGG